rfam:Legionella rubrilucens strain WA-270A-C2 Lrub_ctg020, whole genome shotgun sequence.
UUGAGCGGAGUGCGGCUAAAGUCGCAUGCUCCGUUCUUAUGGGACGGGGCUACAGUAAUGUAGUCCUGUUACCAGAU